UCGAACGGUGAAGCCUGCUUUGGUGGGUGGAUGAGUGGCGAACGGGUGAGUAACACGUGAGUAACCUGCCCCCUUCUUCUGGAUAACUGCACGAAAGUGUGGCUAAUACGGGGUAUUCUGGUCCUGCUGCAUGGUGGGGUUGGGAAAGAUUCUGGUUUCGGCUGGUUUUGGUGGGGGAUGGGCUCGCGGCCUAUCAGCUUGUUGGUGGGGUGAUGGCCUACCAAGGCGGUGACGGGUAGCCGGCCUGAGAGGGUGGACGGUCACACUGGGACUGAGAUACGGCCCAGACUCCUGCGGGAGGCAGCAGUGGGGAAUAUUGCACAAUGGGCGGAAGCCUGAUGCAGCGACGCCUCGUGAGGGAUGGAGGCCUUCGGGUUGUGAACCUCUUUCGCCGGUAAUGAAGGCCUGUCUUUUUUGGGUGGGUUGACGGUAGCUGGGUAAGAAGCGCCGGCUA
rnacentral:rRNA from 1 species